rnacentral:rRNA from 1 species
CCUACGGGAGGCUGCAGUGGGGAAUAUUGCGCAAUGGGCGAAAGCCUGACGCAGCGACGCCGCGUGAGGGAUGAAGGUUCUCGGAUCGUAAACCUCUGUCAGAAGGGAAGAAAUUAUAUCAUGCUAAUCAGUGGUGUAUUGACGGUACCUUCAAAGGAAGCACCGGCUAACUCCGUGCCAGCAGCCGCGGUAAUACGGAGGGUGCGAGCGUUAAUCGGAAUUACUGGGCGUAAAGCGCACGUAGGCUGUAUGACAAGUCAAGGGUGAAAUGCCACGGCUCAACCGUGGAACUGCCUUUGAAACUGUCAAACUGGAGUAUGUGAGAGGGCGGCGGAAUUCCUGGUGUAGGAGUGAAAUCCGUAGAUAUCAGGAGGAACAUCAGUGGCGAAGGCGGCCGCCUGGCACAAAACUGACGCUGAGGUGCGAAAGCGUGGGUA